GCAAGUCGAACGAUGAACUGGGAGCUUGCUCCAGGGAUUAGUGGCGAACGGGUGAGUAACACGUGAGUAACCUGCCCUUGACUCUGGGAUAAGCGCUAGAAAUGGCGUCUAAUACCGGAUACGAGCUUCAGCCGCAUGGCUAGGAGUUGGAAAGAAUUUUGGUCAAGGAUGGACUCGCGGCCUAUCAGCUAGUUGGUGAGGUAAUGGCUCACCAAGGCGACGACGGGUAGCCGGCCUGAGAGGGUGACCGGCCACACUGGGACUGAGACACGGCCCAGACUCCUACGGGAGGCAGCAGUGGGGAAUAUUGCACAAUGGGCGAAAGCCUGAUGCAGCAACGCCGCGUGAGGGAUGACGGCCUUCGGGUUGUAAACCUCUUUUAGUAGGGAAGAAGCGAAAGUGACGGUACCUGCAGAAAAAGCACCGGCUAACUACGUGCCAGCAGCCGCGGUAAUACGUAGGGUGCAAGCGUUGUCCGGAAUUAUUGGGCGUAAAGAGCUCGUAGGCGGUUUGUCGCGUCUGCUGUGAAAUCUGGGGGCUCAACCCCCAGCCUGCAGUGGGUACGGGCAGACUAGAGUGCGGUAGGGGAGAUUGGAAUUCCUGGUGUAGCGGUGGAAUGCGCAGAUAUCAGGAGGAACACCGAUGGCGAAGGCAGAUCUCUGGGCCGUAACUGACGCUGAGGAGCGAAAGCAUGGGGAGCGAACAGGAUUAGAUACCCUGGUAGUCCAUGCCGUAAACGUUGGGAACUAGAUGUGGGGGCCAUUCCACGGUCUCCGUGUCGCAGCUAACGCAUUAAGUUCCCCGCCUGGGGAGUACGGCCGCAAGGCUAAAACUCAAAGGAAUUGACGGGGGCCCGCACAAGC
rnacentral:rRNA from 1 species